GACGAACGCUGGCGGCGUGCCUAAUACAUGCAAGUAGAACGCUGAAGGAGGAGCUUGCUUCUCUGGAUGAGUUGCGAACGGGUGAGUAACGCGUAGGUAACCUGCCUGGUAGCGGGGGAUAACUAUUGGAAACGAUAGCUAAUACCGCAUAAUAGCAGUUGUUGCAUGACAACUGUUUGAAAGGUGCAAUUGCACCACUACCAGAUGGACCUGCGUUGUAUUAGCUAGUUGGUGGGGUAACGGCUCACCAAGGCGACGAUACAUAGCCGACCUGAGAGGGUGAUCGGCCACACUGGGACUGAGACACGGCCCAGACUCCUACGGGAGGCAGCAGUAGGGAAUCUUCGGCAAUGGACGGAAGUCUGACCGAGCAACGCCGCGUGAGUGAAGAAGGUUUUCGGAUCGUAAAGCUCUGUUGUAAGAGAAGAACGAGUGUGAGAGUGGAAAGUUCACACUGUGACGGUAUCUUACCAGAAGGGGACGGCUAACUACGUG
rnacentral:rRNA from 1 species